CUCGUGUCGUGAGAUGUGGUUAAGUCCCGCAACGAGCGCAACCCUUGUCUUUAAUUGCCAUCAUUCAGUUGGGCACUUUAAAGAGACUGCCGGUGUUAAACCGGAGGAAGUGGGAUGACGUCAAGUCCUCAUGGCCUUUAUGCCCAGGGCUACACACGUGCUACAAUGGGUGGUACAAAGAGAUGCAAUCUCGCAAGAGCAAGCAAACCUCAAAAAGCCAUCCUCAGUUCGGAUUGGAGUCUGCAACUCGACUCCAUGAAGUCGGAAUCGCUAGUAAUCGCGGAUCAGCACGCCGCGGUCGAAUACGUUCCCGGGCCUU
rnacentral:rRNA from 1 species